GAUGAACGCUGGCGGCGUGCCUAAUACAUGCAAGUCGAGCGAACGGACGAGAAGCUUGCUUUUCUGAUGUUAGCGGCGGACGGGUGAGUAACACGUGGAUAACCUACCUAUAAGACUGGGAUAACUUCGGGAAACCGGAGCUAAUACCGGAUAAUAUUUUGAACCGCAUGGUUCAAUAGUGAAAGACGGUCUUGCUGUCACUUAUAGAUGGAUCCGCGCUGCAUUAGCUAGUUGGUAAGGUAACGGCUUACCAAGGCAACGAUGCAUAGCCGACCUGAGAGGGUGAUCGGCCACACUGGAACUGAGACACGGUCCAGACUCCUACGGGAGGCAGCAGUAGGGAAUCUUCCGCAAUGGGCGAAAGCCUGACGGAGCAACGCCGCGUGAGUGAUGAAGGUCUUCGGAUCGUAAAACUCUGUUAUUAGGGAAGAACAUAUGUGUAAGUAACUGUGCACGUCUUGACGGUACCUAAUCAGAAAGCCACGGCUAACUACGUG
rnacentral:rRNA from 1 species